UAAUUAGUUGGUUCAGUUGUGUUUGAUCAGGGUUGGAGCUGAACUCUGCAGGAAGGUAGAUCUCCAGGAACAGUUUUGGGCACCCCUGAUAUAGACACACGUCCUCUUCCAGGCAGAUUUUUAACAUCUUUAGUUGAUAGGAACCUCUUAAUUAUUACCCUGAUGGUGGAAAUGGGGAUUUUCAAUGCUUGCUCUUUUCAAUCUAGGAGAAAAGCAGCCUAAUUUCCUGGGAAAAGCAAAGCCGAAUUCUGUUCCCUGAUUGGACGCACCGCUGGUUUUUCAUAUGAGAGUCACGCGUAAACAUACUCGCACGCAUAUACAGAGAGUACACAGUAUGCCCAUGCAACCUCAACUCUCUCUCUCUCUUAGAAACCGGUCUCAGAAGAAGAACUUUUGACAUUGCUGAGUGCUACGGCUUAACGUGGAGUUCAGAGGCUGGUUUGCACAACAAACAGAUGUUCUUUGAUGUCAGCUGCAGUGAGGGGGAGGCAAAAAAUGGGAACGCUAAAAAGAAGUAGGAGGAAGGUGUCAGAACUCUAAUCGCCAUGCAGCGCGCAGAAAGACAUCUAUUGUAUCUCUUAGCACAAACACUGGCUUUGAGUCACAGUUACAACGCUGGCUCGCUGAUCCAGAGAAGCUAAAUUACACAGGCUGUCAGCCAAACCAACGUACAGCUCCGUUCGGGCACGUAAUAAAUUAUGUAAAAGAACCUAACAGCAAGAAAAUGACCGUGCCAUUUGCUGUCACUUCAGACAAUUUGUAUUAUGACAUUUCACGAACGCUUGGCCAAUUACACUGGAUAGAUCGAUUGCAUAAACUAAAUAAUAGUUUCUCCACUCCAGCUAUGUGAUUUAGUUAUUCAUUAAACCACCCACAUCACAAGUGCAAAAUACAGCUCAGGACAUGUACUCCAUGAACAGCUCAUUUAGGUUAGUGUGUGUGUCAGCACGGUGUAUAAGUUAUAGACCCGCGUGCCUACAAAACCUGUAGCAUUUUCCAAAACAACUACGUUUACAUAACAUGUCACAAUUUAUUUCCACUGCAG